rnacentral:rRNA from 1 species
GGGCCCGCACAAGCGGUGGAGCAUGUGGUUUAAUUCGACGCAACGCGCAGAACCUUACCAGGGUUUGACAUCCUGUGCUCGCCGGUGAAAGCCGGUUUCCCCGCAAGGGGCGCAGAGACAGGUGCUGCAUGGCUGUCGUCAGCUCGUGUCGUGAGAUGUUGGGUUAAGUCCCGCAACGAGCGCAACCCUCGCCUUUAGUUGCCAUCAUUCAGUUGGGCACUCUAGAGGGACCGCCGGCGGCAAGCCGGAGGAAGGUGGGGAUGACGUCAAGUCCUCAUGGCCCUUACACCCUGGGCUACACACGUGCUACAAUGGCGGUGACAGUGGGCAGCGAGCUCGCGAGAGUCAGCUAAUCCCAAAAAGCCGCCCCAGUUCAGAUUGCACUCUGCAACUCGGGUGCAUGAAGGUGGAAUCGCUAGUAAUCGCAGAACAGCAGGCUGCGGUGAAUACGUUCCCGGGCCUU